rnacentral:rRNA from 1 species
UUAACACAUGCAAGUCGAGGGGCAGCAUGGUCUUAGCUUGCUAAGACUGAUGGCGACCGGCGCACGGGUGAGUAACACGUAUCCAACCUGCCGUCUACUCUUGGACAGCCUUCUGAAAGGAAGAUUAAUACAAGAUGGCAUCAUGAGUCCGCAUGUUCACAUGAUUAAAGGUAUUCCGGUAGACGAUGGGGAUGCGUUCCAUUAGAUAGUAGGCGGGGUAACGGCCCACCUAGUCUUCGAUGGAUAGGGGUUCUGAGAGGAAGGUCCCCCACAUUGGAACUGAGACACGGUCCAAACUCCUACGGGAGGCAGCAGUGAGGAAUAUUGGUCAAUGGGCGAGAGCCUGAACCAGCCAAGUAGCGUGAAGGAUGACUGCCCUAUGGGUUGUAAACUUCUUUUAUAAAGGAAUAAAGUCGGGUAUGCAUACCCGUUUGCAUGUACUUUAUGAAUAAGGAUCGGCUAACUCCGUGCCAGCAGCCGCGGUAAUACGGAGGAUCCGAGCGUUAUCCGGAUUUAUUGGGUUUAAAGGGAGCGUAGAUGGAUGUUUAAGUCAGUUGUGAAAGUUUGCGGCUCAACCGUAAAAUUGCAGUUGAUACUGGAUAUCUUGAGUGCAGUUGAGGCAGGCGGAAUUCGUGGUGUAGCGGUGAAAUGCUUAGAUAUCACGAAGGACUCCGAUUGCGAAGGCAGCCUGCUAAGCUGCAACUGACAUUGAGGCUCGAAAGUGUGGGUAUCAAACAGGAUUAGAUACCCUGGUAGUCCACACGGUAAACGAUGAAUACUCGCUGUUUGCGAUAUACUGCAAGCGGCCAAGCGAAAGCGUUAAGUAUUCCACCUGGGGAGUACGCCGGCAACGGUGAAACUCAAAGGAAUUGACGGGGGCCCGCACAAGCGGAGGAACAUGUGGUUUAAUUCGAUGAUACGCGAGGAACCUUACCCGGGCUUAAAUUGCAGAUGAAUUACGGUGAAAGCCGUAAGCCGCAAGGCAUCUGUGAAGGUGCUGCAUGGUUGUCGUCAGCUCGUGCCGUGAGGUGUCGGCUUAAGUGCCAUAACGAGCGCAACCCUUGUUGUCAGUUACUAACAGGUUCCGCUGAGGACUCUGACAAGACUGCCAUCGUAAGAUGUGAGGAAGGUGGGGAUGACGUCAAAUCAGCACGGCCCUUACGUCCGGGGCUACACACGUGUUACAAUGGGGGGUACAGAGGGCCGCUACCACGCGAGUGGAUGCCAAUCCCCAAAACCUCUCUCAGUUCGGACUGGAGUCUGCAACCCGACUCCACGAAGCUGGAUUCGCUAGUAAUCGCGCAUCAGCCACGGCGCGGUGAAUACGUUCCCGGGCCUUGUACACACCGCCCGUCAAGCCAUGGGAGCCGGGGGUACCUGAAGUGCGUAACCGCGAGGAGCGCCCUAGGGUAAAACUGGUGACUG